GCACCUGUAUAUAAAAUUGACAAUCUAUGUUGCCUCCUUCAGUGCGGCCUGAAAUCGAGGCUAACACUGCGCAUGCUCAAGCCACAAAGGGGUGGGUCUGCCAGGCCCUGCAAUAAAGGUGGGUUUCCUUUUUGUGACUUAUGGUAUAUUAGCCAGGACACUAGCUCUUGAUCAAGCUCUAUAGAACCAUGCCUUCCCUGCUUUUGGUUUUGGUAACCUGUCUGAUAGGUGGCUGUCUCGUGGAAGGGGCUGCUGUUGUACUGGAGAAACAGGGUCGAGUGAGGCUGAGCGGUGAGUGUAACUCGUACGAACGAGAGAAGCUCAACGAAGGCUAUCGCACAUGUGUCUACAAGGACUCAAAGGGAAUCCCCACCGUAGGGGUGGGCUUCAACCUCGAGAAGUUCGGAGCUAAACAAGAGAUAGAGUCAGUAGGUGCAGAUUACAGUAUGGUGCUGAAUGGAUCAGAGUGUCUGAAGGACAACCAGAUAGAGGAGCUCUUCAACAAAGACAUGGACUCUGCAGUCAGUUGUGCAGAAGGUUUUGUUAGUGGGAUUGGCGAUACUGCAGAGUCAGCAGUGGCAGACAUGGCCUUCAACCUUGGCUGCUCCCAGCUGCAUUCAUUCAACACAUUCCGCUCAUUGCUCCAACAGAAGAAAUUCGAUGCAGCUGCCCAAGACAUGCAGGGCACUGCUUGGUGUGGGCAGGUGGGGUCUCGUUGCAGUCGUGAUGUGGACUGUAUCAAGAAAGGUCGAUGAGCUCUCAGGCUAACUGAACUGUUGUAUUAUAUGAACAGAUAUAUAUGAACAAUGGACUUGUAAACUUGAUUAUUGUAAAAAUUUAAUGAGUGAUUGAACAUUAUAAACCAACACAACAAAUGCUAACUAA